UUCUUACUCCCUCCGUUCGGAAUUACUUGUCGAAGAAAUGGAUGUAUCUAAAUGUAUUUUAGUUCUAGAUACAUCCAUUUUCGAGACAAGUAAUUCCGAACGGAGGGAGUAGUUA
rnacentral:pre_miRNA from 1 species